UUAACUUUUAUCAUAAAACUUAAAAGUACUUAUUUCCCCCCUCUUUCUAAAGCCAAUGAAGGAGGUUGUAAGAUCUCGCACCCCCAUGAAAGAGCCAACAACUGUUGAAAUCUGGACUCAUCCUCAACCACAGUCCCAGCGACGUGUCACAUUUCACCUACCAGAAGGCUCUCAGGAAAGCAGCAGUGAUGGUGGACUAGGAGAUCAUGAUGCAGGCAGCCUUCCCAGCACAUCCCAUGCUCUGCUCCUUGGCUAUCCUCAGGAGGAGUACUUUGAUCAUGCUGCACCCAACAACCGUACUGAAGGAGAUGGCAACUCUGAUCCUGAAUCUACUGCAGAAAUAACUGUGCAACCAACUGUGGAAGAGGCCUCUGACAACUGCACUCAAGAAUGUCUCAUCUUGGGCCAUUCUGAUGCCUGCUGGAUGCCAGCUUCUCUGACCCAUUCCAGCCCUUCACAGGCACAGACCUCUGCUCUAUGCCACAGCCCACCUCUGACACAGGCAUCUGCUCACCGUCGCAGCCCUUCAGUGACACAGACGAUUGCUCUCUGCCACAGUCCUCCAGUGACCCAAGUUAUCGCUCUGUGCCACAGUCCUCCACCAGUACAGGCCUCUGCUCUCCACCACAGUCCUCCUCUAGCACAGGCCACUGGACUUCACCACAACCCACCCCCCACACAGGCCUCAGCCCUCUCUUACAGCCCUCCCUUGGCUCAGGCUACUGCAAUUCGCCGCAGCCCGCCUCUGCCACAGGCUGCCUCUCUCCACCGCAGUCAAGUCCAGACACCAAUGGGUUUGCAGCAAGGUUGGGUGCAAGGUGCUGGAGCUGAUGGACUGCAUACUCUUGAUCAGGGAGUGCAAGGUAGUGCUAGAUCUCAGUUUUACACUAUGUCUGAAAGACUUCAUCCCAAUGAUGAUUCAAUUAAAGUCAUUCCCUUGACAACCUUCACACCAGGCCAACAGGCCAGACCCUCUAGGGGUGAUUCCCCCAUUAUGGAAGAACAUCCCUUGUAAAGUUAAACUAACUAUUUCACAUUUUCAGACAGAUGUAUAUAUUCAAAGUUGAAGAUCCAAUUUCAAGGAAUAUUCCAAAUUGCUAGGUUUGUAAAUAGCUCUGUAAAUAGAAACAGAUACCAGAAAAAGACUAGAGCUAGACCCUUAGUCAAAAGUUAAAAAAUAAAUUUAAAAUUUUUAAUUGAGAAUGUGU
rnacentral:lncRNA from 1 species